rnacentral:rRNA from 1 species
AGUGAACGCUGGCGGUAGGCCUAACACAUGCAAGUCGAACGGCAGCACAGUAAGAGCUUGCUCUUACGGGUGGCGAGUGGCGGACGGGUGAGGAAUACAUCGGAAUCUACUUUUUCGUGGGGGAUAACGUAGGGAAACUUACGCUAAUACCGCAUACGACCUACGGGUGAAAGCAGGGGAUCUUCGGACCUUGCGCGAUUGAAUGAGCCGAUGUCGGAUUAGCUAGUUGGCGGGGUAAAGGCCCACCAAGGCGACGAUCCGUAGCUGGUCUGAGAGGAUGAUCAGCCACACUGGAACUGAGACACGGUCCAGACUCCUACGGGAGGCAGCAGUGGGGAAUAUUGGACGAUGGGCGCAAGCCUGAUCCAGCCAUACCGCGUGGGUGAAGAAGGCCUUCGGGUUGUAAAGCCCUUUUGUUGGGAAAGAAAAGCAGCAGGUUAAUACCCCGCGGUUCUGACGGUACCCAAAGAAUAAGCACCGGCUAACUUCGUG